AUCCUGGCGUUUGCCUGCAGCAAGAUGGCGGCGGUGUCAAUGUCAGUGGUACUGAGGCAGACGUUGUGGCGGAGAAGGGCAGUGGCUGUAGCUGCCCUUUCCGUUUCCAGGGUUCCGACCAGGUCGUUGAGGACUUCCACAUGGAGAUUGGCACAGGACCAGACUCAAGACACACAACUCAUAACAGUUGAUGAAAAAUUGGUUUAUCUUGUACCACUGUGUUUUACAUUCUGUGGUCUAGCCACACCAAGCCUGGAACUUGCUACUCUUUUUCCUGCUUCAAGGCAUUUGGAGUUCCUGUUCACUCUACCUGGAUGCAUUUUAACUAAUCCUGAGGACUUCAUCCGGUCACCAUCUACCUAUUCUUCAAAUGGAUAUCACUACUUUAACUGGAGUUCCAGAAGAGCAUAUAAAAACUAGAAAAGUCAGGAUCUUUGUUCCUGCUCGCAAUAACAUGCAGUCUGGAGUAAACAACACAAAGAAAUGGAAGAUGGAGUUUGAUACCAGAGAGCGAUGGGAAAAUCCUUUGAUGGGUUGGGCAUCAACGGCUGAUCCCUUAUCCAACAUGGUUCUAACCUUCAGUACUAAAGAAGAUGCAGUUUCCUUUGCAGAAAAAAAUGGAUGGAGCUAUGACAUUGAAGAGAGGAAGGUUCCAAAACCCAAGUCCAAGUCUUAUGGUGCAAACUUUUCUUGGAACAAAAGAACAAGAGUAUCCACAAAAUAGGUUGGCACUGACUAUAUCUCUGCUUGACUGUGAAUAAAGUCAGCUGUGCAGUAUUUAUAGUCCAUGUAUAAUAAAUACAUCUCUUAAUCUCCUAAUAAAUUGGACCUUUAAACUACA